GACGAACGCUGGCGGCGUGCUUAACACAUGCAAGUCGAACGGUGAAGCGCUUGCCUUUUUGGUGGGUGUGGAUGAGUGGCGAACGGGUGAGUAACACGUGAGUAACCUGCCCUCUUCUUCUGGAUAACCUCAUGAAAGUGGGGCUAAUACGGGGUAUUCCGGGUCUGUCGCAUGGCGGGUUUGGGAAAGAUUGCGCCUUUGGGUGUUUUCGGUGGGGGAUGGGCUCGCGGCCUAUCAGCUUGUUGGUGGGGUGAUGGCCUACCAAGGCGGUGACGGGUAGCCGGCCUGAGAGGGUGGACGGCCACACUGGGACUGAGACACGGCCCAGACGCCUGCGGGAGGCAGCAGUGGGGAAGAUUGCACAAUGGGCGCAAGCCUGAUGCAGCGACGCCGCGUGAGGGAUGGAGGCCUUCGGGUUGUGAACCUCUUUCGCCAGUGAAGCAGGCCUGCUCCUGUGUGGGUGGGUUGACGGUAGCUGGAUAAGAAGCGCCGGCUAACUACGUG
rnacentral:rRNA from 1 species